UACGUAGGGUGCAAGCGUUAUCCGGAAUUAUUGGGCGUAAAGAGCUCGUAGGCGGUCUGUCGCGUCUGCUGUGAAAACUGGGGGCUCAACCCCCCAGCCUGCAGUGGGUACGGGCAGACUAGAGUGCGGUAGGGGAGAUUGGAACUCCUGGUGUAGCGGUGGAAUGCGCAGAUAUCAGGAAGAACACCGAUGGCGAAGGCAGAUCUCUGGGCCGUAACUGACGCUGAGGAGCGAAAAGCAUGGGGAGCGAACAGG
rnacentral:rRNA from 1 species